UAGGGAAUUUUGCGCAAUGGGGGAAACCCUGACGCAGCAACGCCGCGUGAUUGAUGAAGCCCUUCGGGGUGUAAAGAUCUGUCAGUGGGGACGAAACUUGACGGUACCCACAGAGGAAGCACCGGCUAACUCCGUGCCAGCAGCCGCGGUAAUACGGAGGGUGCAAGCGUUGUCCGGAAUCAUUGGGCGUAAAGAGUUCGUAGGCGGUUUGUUAAGUUUGGUGUUAAAUGCAGAGGCUCAACUUCUGUUCGGCAUCGGAUACUGGCAGACUAGAAUGCGGUAGAGGUAAAGGGAAUUCCUGGUGUAGCGGUGAAAUGCGUAGAUAUCAGGAGGAACAUCGGUGGCGUAAGCGCUUUACUGGGCCGUAAUUGACGCUGAGGAACGAAAGCCGGGGUAGCAAAUGGG
rnacentral:rRNA from 1 species